UGGGGAAUAUUGCACAAUGGGGGAAACCCUGAUGCAGCGACGCCGCGUGAACGAAAAAGGUAUUCGUAUCGUAAAGUUCUGUCCUAUGGGAAGAUAAUGACAGUACCAUAGAAGAAAGCUCCGGCUAAAUACGUGCCAGCAGCCGCGGUAAUACGUAUGGAGCGAGCGUUGUCCGGAAUUAUUGGGCGUAAAGGGUACGCAGGCGGUUUAAUAAGUCGAAUGUUAAAGAUCGGGGCUCAACCCCGCAAAGCAUUGGAAACUGAUAAACUUGAGUAGUGGAGAGGAAAGUGGAAUUCCUAGUGUAGUGGUGAAAUACGUAGAUAUUAGGAGGAAUACCAGUAGCGAAGGCGACUUUCUGGACACAAACUGACGCUGAGGUACGAAAGCGUGGGGAGCAAACAGG
rnacentral:rRNA from 1 species